UCUUUGCCAGUGUGUGGUUUGGGAGUUCUGUGAAGUGUUUGCAGUCGCUACUAAUAAUCCAGGUGACACGGCAAACAUUGCAGUUCCUAGGUCCAGCACAAUUAGAGGAGGGUUCACUCGUAGGCAGCAUCUGAGCAACAGGCUCACCAGACUUCAGCCUCUUCACUCCGACUCUUCCACGCUCCAGCUCUCUUCAUUAAGAUAUUCUAGAAGCAACUGAGGAGUUUCUACAAACAUUUUGGAAAUUACAGGUCAAGUGGAAGUUUGUUUUCAUUUCAGUUAAGGUACGAGUUGUUCUGACUGCUGUGCAGACAUUCACACGCCCGCUGCUAGAAAGCUGGAGCUGGAAGGAGCAUUGGGGCCCGCUGAGUCCUCCUUUCUCAUGUAUGGAUGCGGAUGUGGAGGCAGGCCCUAAGUCUUAGUGUAGGUGCCGAUGGUGCAGGUUGACUCACUUAAAGAAGAAUUUGAAUCAUUAUCUAACAGAAAAAGAUCAAUAACAAGCAUUAUUGCUGGAACAUUCUAUGGAUAGACUGCUUUCUAUACAUGAUUGGUGAAUAUUGUAUUUCAAUUAAUUAUAUAUCCUGAUAAUAUAUGAAUUAAUACUGUGAUAUCCUGCAUACAAUAACAAUAAUCAAUGGAAAUAUAGUAAAACAGAAAUGAAAAUAA
rnacentral:lncRNA from 1 species